rnacentral:rRNA from 1 species
UACGUAGGGGGCAAGCGUUGUCCGGAAUCAUUGGGCGUAAAGCGCGUGUAGGCGGCUUGGUAAGUCCGGUGUGAAACCUUGGGGCUCAACCCCAAGCCUGCAUCGGAAACUGCCUCGCUCGAGUCCGGGAGGGGAGAGCGGAAUUCCUAGUGUAGCGGUGAAAUGCGCAGAUAUUAGGAAGAACACCAGUGGCGAAGGCGGCUCUUUGGCCUGUAACUGACGCUGAGGCGCGAAAGCGUGGGGAGCAAACAGG